CACAAGCUGAUUUCCCUUCGCAUUCGCUACAUGGAAAGUCUCCUGCCUCCCACUUCACCUCAGAUCUUUAGUUACCUCCGAAUCUACUUUCCUUCAUUGAAUAUUGGGCGUCUCAAAUUCUGCACUACCGCAGACAUGAGGAAUUGAGGAGACGCUCCUCUUCUUGGCCUUUUACUUCACUGCUAUAUAUAGGAUCAACGCCAAUUGCAGCGGUUGCAUUCUAUUCAAUCUCAUACUGCUCCUCCUCCUACCGCUCACCACUUACUUGCGUUUUUGUGGUUGUGAUUUGCAUAAAGCUUAGCCGACCAACAGGAGGUCUGCUGGAGCCUGGAGGCUCGGCACCAGGGAAAAGUAACAGCAGCAGUGAAUUUGUCAUCUAUCGGCUUGGCAUGGACAGUGUAAUAGUUCAUCUCUACUUUGUUCAUGCUUUAUAAUAUUAAUUGAGCAACUUUUGGGUGAAGUAAAUCAGACAAUUAUUUCCAUGGAGCUAGGGGUAAGUGGCUGUUUAUAUCCCUUUUCCUUUUACUGAAUUGUACUACUACUACUGGUUGUUCAUCUCAUCUCUCCAUUCACCACUGACGAUGGUUUCCAUUCUCUUCUCCCUUUAUGCUAUCAGAUGAAUCUACAAGGUAAAAUUAAGAUUAUUUGCUUAUGAGGCUCACCUUUUUGGAAACUGCACUUCAUAUGGAUUGCUGUUCUACGGCAAGUACAAACAGAGAGCAACCCACUAAAAGUAUUUCUCUCAACAUGCAAGACAUCCACCUCAUCAGACAUCUCUAAGCAAUCAUAGGCUGCCACCUCACUUCAACUCUUCCACCUCAGUUAGCUAAGAUAACUAUUCGGUUGGCAGUCCACAAGCUGAUUUCCCUUCGCAUUCGCUACAUGGAAAGUCUCCUGCCUCCCACUUCACCUCAGAUCUUUAGUUACCUCCGAAUCUACUUUCCUUCAUUGAAUAUUGGGCGUCUCAAAUUCUGCACUACCGCAGACAUGAGGAAUUGAGGAGACGCUCCUCUUCUUGGCCUUUUACUUCACUGCUAUAUAUAGGAUCAACGCCAAUUGCAGCGGUUGCAUUCUAUUCAAUCUCAUACUGCUCCUCCUCCUACCGCUCACCACUUACUUGCGUUUUUGUGGUUGUGAUUUGCAUAAAGCUUAGCCGACCAACAGGAAGUCUGCUGGAGCCCGGAGGCUCGGCACCAGGGAAAAGUAACAGCAGCAGUGAAUUUGCCAUCUAUCGGCUUGGCAUGGACAGUGUAAUAGUUCAUCUCUGCUUUGUUCAUGCUUUAUAAUAUUAAUUGAGCAACUUUUGGGUGAAGUAAAUCAGACAAUUAUUUCCAUGGAGCUAGGGAUGAAUCUACAAGGUAAAAUUAAGAUUAUUUGCUUAUGAGGCUCACCUUUUUGGAAACUGCACUUCAUAUGGAUUGCUGUUCUACGGCAAGUACAAACCGAAUGGGAUACCACGAAAUUAGCAUGAGAUUAUUCUCAUGAAAAGUGGAGAGGAUUAAUUUAUUUACUAUUGAAGAUUGCAUGAGCUAGAUAUUAUUGCAGAACAGGUUGCUAACAUAUUGCAAGUAUGUAUUUUUAGCACUUACUUCAAUUGCUUGGUUUUGGCUUACUUACCAUUUUAUCAGAUGAAACUUUAAUUUUAGUUUUUGUUACGAGAAAACACAAAAGAAAUCUUUGCAUUUUAUUUUAUUGAAAAGAUAGAAUUUGUUAAACACCCAAGAAGGUUUACAACGUUGAAAAUUAAUUUUAGUGGCCAUCUCCCGAAUUAAGUUUCCUUAUUCUUUGCAUGAGCCGUUUUGCUAUUUCCUACUUUAUAUAGAAACUAUUUAAUUUUUGUUUUUAUGCCAACAAGGGGGGAGUCAUGCCAUUGGUAAAAGGUACCAUAAAAGAAGCCUAUAAAAAAUGGAAGGUCUGUGCAUUUCAUACCUUUCCAUGUACUAUGAGUGGUAAAAGGUACCAUAAAAGAAGCCUAGAAAAAAUGGAAGGUCCAACAGUAAGCAUUUUAGGGGAAAACAAAUUGCAAGACAGUGGAGUUAUUAGACGCAAAAGGGGAAAAAGUAUAAAUCUAAACAUAAUCAACAUGUACUCAUAUAGCCUUGAAGUACAAUUAAAAGAAGCAACUCAGAAUAAUAUCUACACACUAAGGUUAAACCUCGUUAGCCUAAAACAGUUGUAAGCUGGAAGUUGAGCCAAUUAUCAGAGAAUCGAUAGAAACCAGUGGUUGCACUCACCUGACUAUUAUACCUUCAGAAAUAAUCAAAAGCGUAUAAAAUGUUAGCAACUUCAGUAAAAUAGUCUUUCGAGAUCAGUUGCCGUGAGCAUGUUUGAGAGUGCACAAAGUUGCUAGAAGACGAGAAUAAAUUCCCGUUGUUGGUCACAUAUGAAGAUAGGUUUUCAACAAACUCCAUCAAUAUAAUCUGACGUGGAUAAAUUUCUAUGGGUGAGGCAAUGGAUUAUAUUGAGGGCCUUGGCGGACUUGAAGGUUGGACUAUAUUGAAUUCAUCUUCGGAUGCUCAUGCCGUGGUAGCUAGUGUAGAGAUCCUGCAUAUUUCUCUUAAAUCUGAAAACUGAAGUAAAUAAUUGCAGGACGACCGCGCAGUGACAUGACGCUAGAUUUGAUCAUGUGAGAGAUUACAAGAUAAGGCAGAGGAGCAAUACCUUAAUUUGUUCUCUGGAAUAUUUCUCUUGUCACUAUAGGAGCUCCGUUAGGGAGAUUGGAAGAUCGGGUAGAGGAGAACGGGGGUUGAUUUCUCAUUGGUAUCAUCAUCAUCUGCACUAUUUACAUGGAAGCCAACGCCUCAAGAAUCAUGAUUCAGUUGCGUUGACCCUUCCUCUUAUUGCCUUGCAAGCAGUGUAGUCCUUUCUUUCGUUGCCUUGCAGGCAUCAAUGAUGGAGAGGAAUGUUGUGAGGGCUGGAGGCAUGAACAUGGAUUGGAAGGAUGGAAUGGGAAGGUGGACAUGGGAGGGGAUUAUAAAAGAUAAGACUGAAAAUUAUUGGUGGGAGAGGUGCGGCCAUCCUUGAUUAGGAUGAGAAGGGGAAAAGACAUGAGAGCAGUUUCUUUAAAUAUCUGGUGAUUAUCAUGCAAAAAAUAAAACAAAAAAGAUAUUUAUUUGUUGAGGUGGCAUCUUGAUGAGGUGGCAUGCUUACAUGUUGAGAGAAUUACACUUAGUGGGUUGCUCCAAUUUAGAUAUUAUAGAUAGCAUCCAAUGUUCAUGAUCAGAAAACCAUGAUCAUCAAUUAAUCAACAAGCUAGUUAAACAAGAGGCUUACUAUAGACUCUGGUUUGUUUAUAGAACACACAUGUAUUAAUGUUUUCAGUUAAUAAAAUUAUAGCA